rnacentral:rRNA from 1 species
UCGAGGAUCUUUUGCAAUGCCCGACAGGGUGACAAUGCGACGCCGCGUGAGUGAUGAAGGCCUUCGGGUUGUAAAGCUCUGUCAGCUGGGAUGAAUAUACCGGAAUGAAUAACUCCGGUGUUUGACGGUACCAGCAGAGGAAGUCACGGCUAACUCUGUGCCAGCAGCCGCGGUAAUACAGAGGUGGCAAACGUUGUUCGGAUUCACUGGGUGUAAAGGACAUGUAGGCGUCUUUUUAAGUCGGUUGUGAAAUCCCAUGGCUUACCCAUGGAACUGCGACCGAUACUGAUUAGAUUGAGUACGAGAGAGGUAAGCGGAAUUCCGGAAGUAAGGGUGAAAUCUGUAGAUAUCCGGAGGAACACCAUUAGCGAAGGCGGCUUACUGGCUCGAUACUGACGCUGAAAUGUGAAAGCUAGGGGAGCAAACA